UACGGGGGGGGCAAGCGUUGUUCGGAAUUACUGGGCGUAAAGGGCUCGUAGGCGGCCAACUAAGUCAGACGUGAAAUCCCUCGGCUUAACCGGGGAACUGCGUCUGAUACUGGAUGGCUUGAGUUUGGGAGAGGGAUGCGGAAUUCCAGGUGUAGCGGUGAAAUGCGUAGAUAUCUGGAGGAACACCGGUGGCGAAGGCGGCGAUCCUGGACCAAUACUGACGCUGAGGAGCGAAAGCGUGGGGAGCAAACAGG
rnacentral:rRNA from 1 species